rnacentral:rRNA from 1 species
GGGGGGGGGGGGGGGGGGGCCUGGCGCAUGCGAGUCGGGCGGGUGGGGGGGGCUUGCUCCUGGAUUCAGCGGCGGACGGGUGGGUAAUGCCUAGGAAUCUGCCUGGUCGUGGGGGAUAACGUCCGGGAACGGGCGCUAAUACCGCCUACGUCCUGAGGGGGAAAGCGGGGGAUCUUCGGACCUCACGCUAUCAGAUGAGUCUAGGUCGGAUUAGCUAGUUGGUGGGGUAAAGGCCUACCAAGGCGACGAUCCGUAACUGGUCUGAGAGGAUGAUCAGUCACACUGGAACUGAGACACGGUCCAGACUCCUACGGGAGGCAGCAGUGGGGAAUAUUGGACAAUGGGCGAAAGCCUGAUCCAGCCAUGCCGCGUGUGUGAAGAAGGUCUUCGGAUUGUAAAGCACUUUAAGUUGGGAGGAAGGGCAGUAAGUUAAUACCUCGCUGUUUUGACGUUACCAACAGAAUAAGCACCGGCUAACUUCGUG